GGGGGCAAUGUGGCUCAGUGGUAGAGCAUCUGCUCAGAAUGCAAAAAGUCCCAGAUUCAAUGGCCAGCACCUCCA
rnacentral:tRNA from 1 species